CUUCAUUGAGUACCUAUAUGGCACCAUGUGUCUGAGCCACUAAGUGAUGCUGGUAGGACUGAGGAGCAGAGGAG